AAACAGAUAAGUAAGAGUUAAUAGAACAGAAGUACUUCCUAUCUCUUUUGCCUGGAAAGGGUUAACAAGAUCAGUGAGCCUGGCUGUCACCUGACCAGAGGACCAAUCAGGGGACAGGAUACUUUCAAAUCUUGAGGGAGGGAAUUUUUGUGUGUGCUGUUAGUGUUUGGUUGUUGUUCUCUCUGGGUUCUGAGAGUGACCAGACGUGCAACCAGGUUUCUCUCCAAUUUCCCUGAUACAGGUUCUUAUAAAUUCAAAAUAGUAAGUACUAGGUGAUAAGGCGAGUUAGGCUUAUGUUUGUUUUCUUUAUUUGCAAAUGUGUAUUUGGCUGGGAGGAGUUCAAAUGUGUAUUUAGCUGGAAGGAGUUCAAAUUUGUAUUUGGCUGAAAGGAUUUUAAUUUGUACUUGUAUACUUAGGCUGGGAGGGUAUUCCCAGUUUCUAUAGCUGAAAGACCCUGUAACAUAUUCCCUCUUAAAUUUACAAAGAUAAUUUUUACUGUUUUUUCUUUCUUUAAUUAAAAGCUUUUCUUGUUUAAGAA